CCCAGGCUCCCCCUAACCUGCAAGGCUGACAGAGCCCACCACUACGUUUCUGGUAGGCAAAGGCAGUGUUGAGACAGCAGUCUUCCACGCUGACACCACCCCCCAGGAGGCCCUUGCACUUGCCGGAGGAUUCUUCAUACUGGCACCUCGCGCUCCUCCCAGCAACCUCACAGUGUUCAAUAGAAGCUCCUAGGACAAAUUCUCACCCAGAGGAAAUGGAGCAUAGGAGCGUGCAGCAACUUCCUAGCCGUGUGACCUUGGGCUAUCCUUGAAAAUGUGCUUUGAACAAAGGAGUCUUAUUAAGAUUCUACGACUUCAAGACAAUCAUUGCUGUGUUAUCCUGUGAAAACACUCUCCAAGAGACCUGAAACUGGCCAGGCAUGGUGGCUCACGCCUGUAAUCCCAACACUUUGGGAGAUUGAGGCAGGUGGAUCACCUGACGUCAGGAGUUCGAGACCAGCCUGGUCAACAUGGUGAAACGCCGUCUCUACUAAAAAUACAAAAAUUAGCCAGGCGUGGUGGCGGAUGCCUGUAAUCCCAGCUACUUGGGAGGCUGAGGCAGGAGAAUCGCUUGAACUCGGGAGGCAGAGGCUCUAGUGAGCUGAGAUCGUGCCACUGCACUCCAGCCUGGGCGACAGAGUGAGACUCUGUCCCAAAAAAAAAAAAAAAAAAAAAGAAAGAAACCUGAAAUUCUGGCUGGCUUCUUUAUUUAACCACCUGUUGCCCUGGUAAUAAUAUUAACAAUAUUUCCUUUGUUUCUAAACUGUAUAAAUACUCAUAGGAUUCCCUGUGGAAGAGGACUGUCAGCACUCUAUCUUUUCCCACACGUUUAGGCAAUAAAAUGACUGCAGAUUCCUUAAAC
rnacentral:lncRNA from 10 species